rnacentral:rRNA from 1 species
AUUGAACGCUGGCGGCAUGCCUUACACAUGCAAGUCGAACGGUAACAGGUCUUCGGAUGCUGACGAGUGGCGAACGGGUGAGUAAUACAUCGGAACGUGCCUAGUAGUGGGGGAUAACUACUCGAAAGAGUGGCUAAUACCGCAUGAGAUCUACGGAUGAAAGCAGGGGAUCGCAAGACCUUGUGCUACUAGAGCGGCCGAUGGCAGAUUAGGUAGUUGGUGGGUAAAAAGCUUACCAAGCCGACGAUCUGUAUCUGGGCUGAGAGGGCGAUCAGCCACACUGGGAGUGAGAAACAGCGCAGACUCCUACGGGAGGCAGCAGUGGGGAAUAUUGGACCAUGGGCGCAAGCCUGAUCCAGCAAUGCCGCGGGCAGGAUGAAGGCCUUCGGGUUGUAAACUGCUUUUGUACGGAACGAAAAGCACUGGGUUAAUACCCUGGGGUCAUGACGGUACCGUAAGAAUAAGCACCGGCUAACUACGUGCCAGCCGCCGCAGUAACAC